GACCGCGUAGCUCAGUUGGCAGAGCAUUGGGCUAGUAUUCCAAAGGUCGUAGGUUUGAUUUCUACCGUGAACA